CCCUUAGAUGUUCUGGGCCGCACGCGCGCUACACUGAUUCAUGCAACAAGUUUUGUCCUUGGCUGAUAGGCCUGGGUAAUCUUUGAACGUGAAUCGUGAUGGGGAUAGAUGAUUGCAAUUAUUCAUCUUCAACGAGGAAUUCCUAGUAAACGCAAGUCAUCAGCUUGCAUUGAUUACGUCCCUGCCCUUUGUACACACCGCCCGUCGCACCUACCGAUUGAAUGGUCCGGUGAAAUCUUCGUAUCUGAGAGAUGUCUGAUUAAUUUCGGACGCCUUUUGGAAAAGUUGUUUAAACCUUACCAUUUAGAGGAAGGUGAAGUCGUAACA
rnacentral:rRNA from 1 species